UUCAUCUUCAAAUAACAAAAAUCUGUUUUUCUUGAGUGUGGCCUUCAUUUGCAUGUCUUCCUUUUCAAGCUCAAUCUCGAUAUUUAUAGAAACUACCAUGGUAUAAAAGCCACCAGAGUAAAUCAAAGGCAUUUCUCAAGCUAGUCUUUCCUCUCGUUACUUCAAUUUCACAAUUCUGUGGUAAAUUGCUUGUAGCGUGGAGCUGAAAGGCUAGGGUUUACCUUGAAGAAGCAGCUGAAAAUGGUAAUUGGAGAAAAAACUUAACUUCCGACAAUUAUAAUCCCUCAUAAUGUCAAUAAUGCAACCGACAUAGUUGUGUUUUCAUCAGUUGACCAUAAUCAUCCACUUUUCCUU
rnacentral:lncRNA from 1 species